rnacentral:tRNA from 1 species
GGCGAGGUAGCUCAGUCGGUUAGAGCAGCGGCUUCAUAAGCCGCGUGUCGCGGGUUCGAGUCCCGCCCUCGCCA